rfam:Homo sapiens chromosome 2, GRCh38 reference primary assembly.
GCCAGGCAUGGUGGUGGGCGCCUGUAGUCCCAGCUACUUGGGAGGCUGAGGCAGGAGAAUUACUUGAACCCGGGAGGCGGGGUUGCAGUGAGCUGAGAUUGCGCCACUGCACUCCAGCCUGGGUAACAGAGUGAGACUCUGUCUCAA